AUACCUUUCUCGGCCUUUUGGCUAAGAUCAAGUGUAGUAUCUGUUCUUAUCAGUUUAAUAUCUGAUACGUGGGCCAUCGGCCCACAUGAUAUUAAAUUUAUUUUUAAAGGGGGAAGGCCCAACACAAUAGCUUGCUAUUGGGGCUUUCGAGCGUCGCCUUUGCGUUGCACUACUGCAUUGGCCUGGCGCACCCCUC
rfam:Cucumis melo, WGS project CAJI01000000 data, contig: 34951